GACGAACGCUGGCGGCGUGCUUAACACAUGCAAGUCGAACGGAAAGGCCCUGCUUUUGUGGGGUGCUCGAGUGGCGAACGGGUGAGUAACACGUGAGUAACCUGCCCUUGACUUUGGGAUAACUUCAGGAAACUGGGGCUAAUACCGGAUAGGAGCUCCUGCUGCAUGGUGGGGGUUGGAAAGUUUCGGCGGUUGGGGAUGGACUCGCGGCUUAUCAGCUUGUUGGUGGGGUAGUGGCUUACCAAGGCUUUGACGGGUAGCCGGCCUGGGAGGGUGACCGGCGACAUUGGGACUGAGAUACGGACCAGACUCGUACGGGAGGCAGCAGUGGGAAAUAUUGCACAAUGAGCGGAAGCCUGAUGCAGCAACGCCGCGUGCGGGAUGACGGCCUUCGGGUUGUAAACCGCUUUCGCCUGUGACGAAGCGUGAGUGACGGUAAUGGGUAAAGAAGCACCGGCUAACUACGUG
rnacentral:rRNA from 1 species